AUUCAGAAGAUUUCAUACUAAAUUCUGGCGUAAAUUAAAUUCUAAAGGACCAGAUGGUAAAUUAAUUGGUCAAGAAUUGUUGGACUCUAUUCAGACUGCUUUGACCAGAUACAGCAAAAAGUACUAAAUUCUGGCAUAAAUUAAAUUCUAAAGGACCAGAUGGUAAAUUAAUUUGUCAAGAAUUAUUGGACUCUAUUCAGACUGCUUUGACCAGAUACAGCAAAAAUAUUUCAGA
rnacentral:lncRNA from 1 species